UUCCGGUUGAUCCUGCCGGACCUGACUGCUAUCGGAUUGAUACUAAGCCAUGCGAGUCUUUGCAGUAAUGCAAGGCAUACGGCUCAGUAACACGUAGUCAACUUACCCUAUGGACGAGGAUAAUCUCGGGAAACUGAGCAUAAUACUCGAUAGAUCAUAAUGCCUGGAAUGGUUUAUGGUUGAAAUGAUUCGUCGCCAUAGGAUGGGACUGCGGCCUAUCAGCUUGUUGGUGAGGUAAUGGCCCACCAAGGCGAUUACAGGUACGGGCUCUGAGAGGAGAAGCCCGGAGAUGGGUACUGAGACAAGGACCCAGGCCCUAUGGGGCGCAGCAGGCGAGAAAACUUUGCAAUGUGCGAAAGCACGACAAGGUUAAUCCGAGUGAUUUCUGCUAAAGAAAUCUUUUGCAAGUCAUAAAACCACUAGUGAAUAAGGGGUGGGCAAGUUCUGGUGUCAGCCGCCGCGGUAAAACCAGCACCUCAAGUGGUCAGGAGGAUUAUUGGGCCUAAAGCAUCCGUAGCCGGCUCUGUAAGUUUUCGGUUAAAUCCAUGUGCUCAACGCAUGGGCUGCCGAAAAUACUGUAGAGAUAGGGAGUGGGAGAGGUAGACGGUACUCGGUAGGAAGGGGUAAAAUCCUUUGAUCUAUCGAUGACCACCUGUGGCGAAGGCGGUCUACCAGAACACGUUCGACGGUGAGGGAUGAAAGCUGGGGGAGCAAACCGGAUUAGAUACCCGGGUAGUCCCAGCUGUAAACGAUGCAGACUCGAUGAUGCAUUGGCAUAUAGCCAGUGCAGUGUCGCAGGGAAGCCGUUAAGUCUGCCGCCUGGGAAGUACGUACGCAAGUAUGAAACUUAAAGGAAUUGGCGGGGGAGCACCACAAGGGGUGAAGCCUGCGGUUCAAUUGGAUUCAACGCCGGG
rnacentral:rRNA from 1 species